CUCUAAUUGUUGUUACUGCCUGCAAUAGUGGCAUGAAGCUCAACUAGGAUUUCUUAAGAGCUGAACUCCAAAGCAAGUUAAUUAAUAAAUAAGCAGCCACAAUUGUUUGUUGAGAAUGUGAUAAGUUCUAAGAAUUUACAGAGAAUGCGAAUGACAAAUAAAACUCCCACAAGGAACUUAGAAAGUACCUAGAUAAACUUGGCACAAGAAACCACCUGCAAACGUAAGAAGGAUUAUUAUGGAUCUGAGCUGGGCAAAGACCAGGUGUGUGUGUUGCUGUGUGUGAACAGGAAGAGCUGAGAGGUCCCAUGAGAACAAGAACGGUGUUCCCAAUCUCAGAGGCCAAGGCAGAAAAUGGACAGUAAAUGACAGGAGAGAGCUAGUGCUAACGUUGUAGAAGGCGAGAAGGAGAGAGUGAAAAUAAUUAACUCCUAGGGGAAACAAACAAAUAAACAAACCAAAAAUCAAACUCACCCAGAGGCAAGAGAAGAAGCUGGUUAAAACCCAAACUCCUAACCCCAACCUAGAAGAGACUAUGUUAAUCUGGCCCCUGUUGUCAGCCUCACCCACCACACUUGUCCCUUCAUUCAUGCUCCACCUACACUUGUGUUCCUGGCGUUCCUCAAACAUUUCAAGCUUCUUCUCUCUGAGCAACUUCACACUGGAUGUUCCCCGUGUCCAGAAAUCUGUUCCCUAGAUCUUCACAAUGGUUGGCCUCUCUUUUUAUGUCUUAGUUCAAAUAUGACUGUCUCAGAGAGCCUUUGCCUGACCACCACACUCUAAAUGGAAGGUGUCUAGAAAUGCUUGUUGAAUAAAUGAACUUGACAGAAAUGGAAACAGUGUUUUACAGAACUGGAAAGCAAGGCACCAAGCAUUGAGCUGACAUAUGGCAGAUUAUCCAGGUAGGUCCAGAACCUGGCACUCUGAGUCCAAAUGCACUGCAGGAGAACCAGGCUCUGGGCAUAUGCCUCCUGUCAUGAACUACUGUGCACCUGUACUCUGUUACCAACGAAUUGUGCAGCCUUUUUCAUGACUUUUGGGAGCUUCCUUAACUUUUGUGUGCUUACUAUUUUUAUCUGAGGAUAUCAAAAAAUAUGUUUAAAAAGGUUAUUAGAACUGGAAAGAAGUAUUUGCAACUUAUAUCACAAAGAGCUAAUAACAUAAUAUAAAAGAGCUACUAAACACGUGGGGAAAAAAAGACCAACACAUCUAUGAAAGAUGGCCUGGAAAUAGGAGCAGACACAGUUCACAGAAAAAGAAAGGAAAAGGACCCUUAAGUGUAUGAAAAGAUGCUCGACCUUACUUAUAACAACAAAAAUACACAUGAAAACUUCACUGAGAUACAAUUUUCUCGCCUAUCAGGCUGGCAAAAAUCUAGAAGACUGACAAUCUAUUUUGUGGAUGAGGCUGUGGAGAAACAGACAAUAUCUUACAUUGUUAGUGGGAAUGCAAAAUGGCACAAACCCUACGGACGGGAAUUUGACAUGUCUAGUAAAAUUAUAUACAUAUUUGCUCUUUGAUCCAGUAAUCCAACCUCUAGGAAUCUACCCAGAAAAUACGCUGUAAAAGUACGAAAAAGACUUUUAUCCAUGAGUAUACAUUUCAGAAUUGUUUAUGAUAGCAAAAGAUUGGAAACUAGUUGAAUAAACCAUGGAACAUCCUCCUGGUAGAAUACUAUGCAGAUAUAAGCAGGGAGAGGGCUAUCUCUAUAUACUGCAAUGGAGCCAUCAGUUCAAUGAGAUGUUUAGUGAAAAAAAUUAAGAUAGGAAAAUGUAUAUAGUAUCCUAACAUUUAUCAAAGGAAGGGUGAUAUGAGUAUGUGUGUGUAUUUGCUGAUUUCUAAGGAAUCAGAAAAUAAAUAAGAUAAUUACUUAAAGGAUUACGAAGGAGGAGAGUAAAGAGGAUAGAGAUGGAAGUUAGACUUUUCUGAAUGUAUUUUGUUUUGUAGAUAUAACAUUGGUACAAUGUACAUAUCCUAUAUAAUUACAAAAAAUUAAAUCAUAAU
rnacentral:lncRNA from 1 species